rnacentral:lncRNA from 1 species
GGUCUCGGGACCAGGCAAUGGUCGCCAGGUGGCUCGCCGCCCCCUCCGCGCCACGAUCUCUGGCCCACGUGUCCCGCACUGUCCAGGGCGCCCGGCCUGCCCCGAGCCCGCGGGCGCCUCCACUUUCCCGCUCCCUCAGGACAGCGAGCUCCGGCACGCCGGGUUCCGCAGCGAUCGACCCUGCACUCGUGAGGGCUCGCCCGGAAGUCUGUGGCGCGGCCCCCGCUCCGGCCCGGCGGGACGAGGGGAGGCGUGAGCUCCUCUCAGUGUGGCCGUUCUCGGGGAAAGCGGGAGUCGUUUCGCCCUGCGAAAUGUGGCGACACGGAGCCCGGAAUUUGUACCGAAAUAAGCGGCUCGGUGAACCGCAGCAGUUCUGAGCCCUGGUCAGUCCCUCUCCCAAGCACGAAAAACAAAGCGGGAGGUCGCGCUGGCCGGGCUAGGGGACAGGGCGGGACAGGGGAGGGGUCCCUCGGCAAGUUGCGGGGGAUAGCGCGCCAGGCUGGGAGACAAAGGGAGCCAGAGCGCAGCGCCACGGAGCGAGGCCUCCCGGUCGCCACGCGCGGGCUGAACUCGUGGGCGGAAGCACAAAGGCGCACGCACUCGCACGUGGACCGCGAAGCGGCCUCUGCAAGCCGGGGAGCGCGAGUUUGCGGGCGCCCAGGAGAGGCAACCGUGUGCUCUGGUGAUCGGUGUUAGCUGCUGUUAGCCUGUUCCCCAAGCAUGCUCCAUUUUUUCCCCCUAAACUCUGCUUUCCGUGUUCUGACAUGAAAUGUUCAGUGUUUUCGGAGUGAGAAAAAUUUCACCCUAGCUUUACGAUUGAGAGUGGUGGGGUGGUUUUGCCUGUCUGUUGUUUCCUUCCUCUGUACUGUCUUUGCAUUUACUACGUAUUCCAUUUUCACUAUUUUUUCGCAGAACAGAGAAAUGAAAUACUCUCGUAACACAACAUUCCUUUACAUCAGAGAGAUACAUUGUGGCAGUUGCUUUAAACAAAACGUAAAUUUGGAGAAAGUGCAAGUGUAGAUCUAAUUGGAACAUUCACACACAGAACAUUCUCAUGGUUUUUCUAGAAACCAGUAAGAUGUAACCAGAGACCUCCGGAUGGUAAAUUUUCUGAUGAAAACUACAAGGAAAAAAAUACUUUUUUGUCUUUUUAGAGAUCUCUUGAGUUCCAAUGUUAAGAAAUGACUACAAACAUCUUUAUUAAUGCUUUUAUUAAAUGUCAAAAACAAAAAAGUAUAACCUAGAAUCUCAAGAUAUAAAUAGCAGUUGCUGAGAACCUACCAUUAACUCUGCCUCUAAACAGCCAUUUAAAAAGACUAAUAACUGUAAUGAUAUGACAUUUUUGAAGUGAAAGAACCCCAGUAAUUAUAAACCUCAAACAAGUCUAGCAAGUUAAUAUUAAUUUUGUUCAUAUGAAAUAUGUUCAACAUGAUAAUAAAAACUUGUAUUUAAAUUAUUGAUUUUCCUUUGAACAUUUGUUAAGAAUUUAUCACAUCUUGAGUCUGAACGGUAAGAAAUACAAUGUUCUUACAUUGGAGAUUAUAUUUCAAGGCACAAAGGCAACACCCAGGCUAAAUUUUUUUUUAAUUGCUUACUAUGUCAAUAAAAGAAAAGACAUCAAUACCAUAAAGUUUUGAAAGUCAGAAUCAGAUGAAGAACAAAGCAGUCUUUACUCAAAAUUUACCAUGCCAGUCUUCCUUUGUGAGUAGUUAUAAAGCUUUCCUCCUUGCCUAUUGGUUCCAUCUCUAAGCCAAUAGGAAAAGUACAACACAUCUUUCAAAGAGUGAGACAGCGUUAGGUUAGUACAUGGAAUAAGUAGAUUGUUUAUCCUGCUCAUUGUCCUUCUAGAGCGUGUAUCUUGUAAUUGCAAAAAAAAAAAAUUAAAGAAACUUUAUUGACUGUCUUGAUGUGGCUCUUACUCCUGCUCACACUCCACUCUAAUCUUCCUAGUUGGUUUUAUUACAAUUGGUUGUAAUGAAUUCUGUAACAACAUUGAAUUCUCUAAAAUUCUAGGUGACUAUAAGGAAUGGCAGAAUGCCCACUAGCUAGCACUUUAAAUGAAGUGAAUUGGUACUGGGUUUUUUUGGUACCAGGGAUCGAACUUGGGUCCUUGCGCUUGCAAGGCAGGCAGCGGAACCACUGAGCUAAAUCCCUGGCCCUGGUACUGGUAUUUUAAAGGAAGGGCUAGCCUUUAAAGAAAUAAUAAAGUUUAUAUUUUGGAAAACGUCUUCAUUUUUGUAAAUAAAAUUAUUUUGUAAAUAAAAUAAUGAAUAACCCUUUUACAUUUGUCAAAGCCUCCUUUCGUCUACUUAAAAGCUAAAUUCUA